AUACGUUGAUGAUAAGUGGCGGUCUGCCAUCCGCUGUUUAUUAGAGUAUUACAAGGGUAUCCUUUACCAAAGGGCAGAUAGCUAUCUAAAGCGAAAGAAAAGGACUUGC
rnacentral:sRNA from 18 species